AUUGAAAUACUGAAAGCUGAAAAUGACCGGUUGAAGGCAGAAACUGGUAACACAGCUAAGCCUACUCGGCCACCGUCAGAAUCCUCAAGCAGCACCUCCUCUUCAUCUUCCAGGCAGUCAUUAGGACUUUCUCUAAACAAUCUGAACAUCACAGAGGCUGUUACCUCAGAUAUUUUGCUAGAUGAUGCUGGUGAUGCAACUGGACAUAAAGAUGGCCGCAGUGUGAAAAUUAUAGUCUCCAUAAGCAAGGGCUAUGGUCGAGCAAAGGAUCAAAAGUCUCAGGCAUAUUUGAUAGGAUCCAUUGGUGUUAGUGGAAAAACCAAGUGGGAUGUCUUAGAUAGUGUAAUAAGACGUCUCUUUAAGGGGUAGAAGAAAAUAGUUUGGACAGUUUUGUUUUUGAUACGCUGAUUCCUAAACCAAUUACCCAAAGGUACUUUAACUUGUUGAUGGAGCAUCACAGAAUUAUACUCUCAGGACCGAGUGGUACUGGAAAGACCUAUUUGGCAAACAAACUUGCUGAAUAUGUAAUAACCAAAUCUGGGAGGAAAAAAACAGAGGAUGCAAUUGCCA
rnacentral:sRNA from 1 species